CCUACGGGUGGCAGCAGUGAGGAAUAUUGGUCAAUGGACGAGAGUCUGAACCAGCCAAGUAGCGUGAAGGAUGACUGCCCUAUGGGUUGUAAACUUCUUUUAUAAAGGAAUAACACGACUUACGUGUGCCUUUUUGCAUGUACUUUAUGAAUAAGGACCGGCUAACUCCGUGCCAGCAGCCGCGGUAAUACGGAGGAUCCGAGCGUUAUCCGGAUUUAUUGGGUUUAAAGGGAGCGUAGAUGGGUUGUUAAGUCAGUUGUGAAAGGUUGCGGCUCAACCGGAAAAUUGCAAUUGAUACUGGCAGGCUUGAGGACAGUGGAGGUAGGCGGAAUUCGUGGUGUAGCGGUGAAAUGCUUAGAUAUCACGAAGAACCCCGAUUGCGAAGGCAGCUUACUAAACUGUGACUGACAUUGAUGCUCGAAAGUGUGGGUAUCAAACAGGAUUAGAUACCCGAGUAGUC
rnacentral:rRNA from 1 species